rnacentral:rRNA from 1 species
UACGUAGGGGGCUAGCGUUGUCCGGAAUCAUUGGGCGUAAAGAGCGUGUAGGCGGCCCGGUAAGUCCGCUGUGAAAGUCGGGGGCUCAACCCUCGAAAGCCGGUGGAUACUGUCGGGCUAGAGUGCGGAAGAGGCGAGUGGAAUUCCUGGUGUGGCGGUGAAAUGCGCAGAUAUCAGGAGGAACACCUAUUGCGAAGGCAGCUCGCUGGGACGUAACUGACGCUGAGACGCGAAAGCGUGGGGAGCAAACAGG